ACAGAGGGUGCAAGCGUUAAUCGGAUUUACUGGGCGUAAAGCGCGCGUAGGUGGCCAAUUAAGUCAAAUGUGAAAUCCCCGAGCUUAACUUGGGAAUUGCAUUCGAUACUGGUUGGCUAGAGUAUGGGAGAGGAUGGUAGAAUUCCAGGUGUAGCGGUGAAAUGCGUAGAGAUCUGGAGGAAUACCGAUGGCGAAGGCAGCCAUCUGGCCUAAUACUGACACUGAGGUGCGAAAGCAUGGGGAGCAAACAGG
rnacentral:rRNA from 1 species